rnacentral:rRNA from 1 species
AUGAUCCGCGACCGGGCGGACUUCGAGAAAGCUUUCGUCAACAACUUUGAUGGGGCAUACCAGUGUCCCGACAGUGCGUAUGACCUUCACAACUGCAUGCAGUGGGACAAGGAGUUGGUCUGCGAUUACAUCGCUCGCUGGCUCAAAAAAUGCAUCUCACUAACUAAUGUCUCGAAUGAGCAAGCUAUUCACACAUUCAUCAAUGGAGCACAGGAUGAAGGCCUAUGUCACAAGCUUAGUCGUAAACAAGCAGACGGGAGGCUCACCACCAUGGCACAGCUCAUGAAGGUGGCAAACGACUAUGCAAUAGGCGAUAAGACGGCGCGUGCAGGCCGCCGUUAG